rnacentral:rRNA from 1 species
CACGGGGGAGCAAGCGUUGUUCGGAAUCACUGGGCGUAAAGGGCGUGUAGGCGGUCAGGUAAGUGAGAUGUGAAAUGCCCCGGCUCACCCGGGGACCGGCAUCUCAUACUGCUUGGCUUGAGUACGGGAGAGGAUGUGGGAAUUCCUGGUGUAGCGGUGAAAUGCGCAGAUAUUGGGAAGAACACCAGUGGCGAAGGCGGUUCUCUGGGACGGUACUGACGCUGAGACGCGAAAGCGUGGGGAGCGAACAGG